rnacentral:lncRNA from 1 species
UCGGACAUGAAGGACAUAUGAACCUAGUGUAAAUAUACAUAGGUUGGACAUCAAGUGACAUUGAACCUAGUGUUAAAGAACAUAGGUUGGAAUCAGGUGUGGCAUUUAAUCUAGCGUUAAAGAACAUAGGUUGGACAUGAACCUAGUGUUAAAGAAAGUAGUUAAACAAGGUUUAACACAAAGUGACAUUGUGGCUUGGUAUUAGCGGUAUAUGCAUGAUUAGGUAAAAACCUAUCAUUGGCAUUGAGGAAUAGAAAUAUGAAACAGGUUGGCUAUUACCUCUUCAAAUUGAGGAUGGGAUCAUACUCACAUGUAUUGGUUCCGGCUUGUGGGAGGUCGCUCCUCCACAAGCGGUGUACUCCGGAGUGUAGACACCACGGGUGAGAGUGCUCGGCGAAGAUGAAAGGAAUAAGAUUGCAAUAAUUUGUAAUAAAAGUAUGAUUGUAUUUGGAAGUUAAAUGUAAAAUGUAAUUGUGAUGUAAAAUAUAUCUAGUGAAUGUGAAUGCUUAUAAUAACAAGUAGAUUAUGUUUUUGAUACUUCCUUAUGCAAUCUUUGUUUGAAAUGUGUUUCUGGUUGGAACUUCAUACACUGUAUUGAUUGCGACGCCUUGAAUGUACAGGGAAAACCCUGNGUAGAGAUAGAAGUGGCGAAAUGACUCUCAGAGCAAUGUGAAUAGUAAAUUGUGAGAGUUGAGCCAUGAUGCUUAUGAGAACACCCGAGUGGUCCGAAAAUUUCGGAUGUCAUUCCGGUAGAUCGAACAGUGAAAGUAGCACCACUGUUGAAAGAACCGUCGAUUAGUGGCCAAGUUUGAGCACGUGGGCCUAGUAGUACUUCAAGGUGAGGUAGGCAGUUGUGCUCGUGCGGCCGGUGUGCAUAGGCAAGAUUGCCUAAUGCUGGACUUUGUGUGGAACGCUGCAGAAGCGUAGAGCGCUCGAGCGUAGAUACCCAUAGAGUGCGGAUGUGGAUUUAGCCGAGAGAGUGUAUUGGCAAUAGCACUUGAGCAUUGCUAGGUGUGAAGCGUGCCAUGGAUCACUCGUGGAACUGGUGACUCGCACUAGGUGCAUAGGAGCCGAUAUUGGUACGUGUGACUCGGUAGAGUAUGUCGUGUAGGACGACGACGGCGGGUAGUGCUUGGGGACGACCUGUGCCUGGACCAUUUGUGAACUGUGGAGCCUGGGCCCAUUGGGCAGGUGCAGUCAGCUGUGAGUGACAGCGGCCCGGUACCUACGGGUAGGGCAGAGUUUGGUCAGGACGGUAGUCCGAGCUGAGACCCAGGAGCGUGGAAUGCCACGUGAUAGAUUGUGUGACCGAUGGUACACCGAGUAUGGUUAUGACCCAACCUGAGGAUUUGACGUGGUUUGGGGUCUUAGUUGCUCCUGGUUGGAGUGUGUGCGAAUUCCCAAGUGAGAAUUUCGCCCGAUGAUGAUUGAGUCUGCAUUUGAGAGCAAGAGACGCUGCAUGUUGAGAUAGGUUUAGGCGGUAGGCCUACGUAGGAUUGGUGGCCUUUGGUCCACCUGUGGAGACCGAAGAAAGUGAUUUGGCAGAUAGCCUUAUCAAGGAGUUUGACUCGAAUUUACGAACGAAGCGCUCGCGUGAGCUCGUUGCGAAAAUAGUUUGAUAUUAAUCGUGGCAUGUGGUAUCAGAUGUUGAAGUACUCAUUGUGAGACGACGAACUAGUAGAAAGCCACGUGAUGUUGGAGACUAUGCUCGUAGACAAACUAAGACUUGAGAGGUGCCGAAGUAGGCUAUCUCACGUUAAAGUUAAAGGUCGGUGCGAAAUUAGAGCACUCACGACGGAGCGAUGCACCGGUGAUAUUGCUUCUAAGCAAUGUCGGUGAUCGAAUCAGAAUGUAUUCCCUGAAGGGAAGGUGAGUGCAAAGAAGAGUUCUUUGCGUACCGAAUGGAGAGUGGUGUUGGAGCGCGUAGAGUCGUCGAGUAUCGACUUGCGCUGCCACUAUGACUUGCAAGACCCGUGAUGUACUUUUGUAUCACACUUUGCAAAUGUGUUUAGGAUUAAACCCACGUCCUUCAGUAUGAGUCGCUUCUGGAACCACGAUAGUGUGAAGCUGCUUUGGAGUGGGAGAAUGAGUUGGUACCCUCAAUUGCUCGCGGAGCUGAAUUGAGGCGUCGUUUGAAUUUCGCGGACGAAAUUCUUUUAAGGGGUGGAGAAUGUAACAUACCAGAUUUUGGUAUAAAAAUAAAAAUAAAUAAAUAGUGUACGAUAUUAUUUUUAUUGGAUUUAGGGAAGUAAAACAUAAGUCAAAAAUGACUUGUGCUGAAAUCGGAAUAAAAACAGAAGAUUUAGAAUUUUCUGUUGGAAACGGGACAGAUAAAUUAGCAGGAAAUGCACAGUGUCAGAAAAUUAUGAAAACUGGAGGAUAAGUCAGAAUUAUUUUUAUGAGGCUGGAUUUAAAGUUUCAUGCCAUUCUGACGUCCGGAAGGUGGAAAAUAAAAUCCGACAGUUAUCUGAUAAAGAUUACAAUUCGGUACAGCUUUCGGUGACCAAACGGGGUCGAAACUGAAAUAUUAAAAUUUCUUUGGACUCGUUAAGUAAAACCGAACAUGACUGUCAAAUUUGAGGUUAAACGGAUAUUCUGGAAGCUCCGGCAAAAGAUAUCAGAUUUCGAGUUGCCUGGAGUGAAUAGUGUUUGGUGUUGACUAUAAGUAUAAGCUAAUUAGCUUCUUCUUCUUCAUCACCACCAACCAGCAAGCAUCACACGCGCGAAUGGAGAGGGGAGGAGAAACCCUCCUUUCUCUCUCUAAAGAUCUCUCUCAUCUUUCUAAAUCUGUCACGCCCGGGUACCAGCGGAAGUAUAUCCGGUACGUGCACAGCCCGCCAUACACUUGCAGUAUAUAAGGCGUCUACAAGAAACAAGUCGAUAGUUGUAAAAACAUAACAUAAUCCUAUCCUGAUAUUAGAGCAUAGUAAAAGUCACAAAGACUAUCAACAAAAGAACGAGAGUGUCCAACUCAAAAUAUAAGUACAAAAGAAAGUACUAAAACUGCCACAUCCGAUCCUCGCACGAUCAGCUAGCGGAACGAUGAGCCCGAUGCCGGCUCCCACUACAGGUCAAAUAUCUCUCUGAUGGUAACAUGUCUAUAAAACACAUGGGACACAACAUAUAUUCAAAACCUAGGUNACGCGACUCCCUUGCCACGAUCCCUAGCCUCUCCUGUAGAUGGCUCUGUAAAAACAACAAUAAAAAGGGCGUGAGAACUAUUAACAAUAGUUCCCAGUGGGUAAGUCGCCAGCCUCGGCGAAUUACACCACUAGGCUCAUGAUGUACUAAAUGAAAGUAAAAGCGAUAAUUGCAUGAUAUAUAUAUGCAAUGCUAACAGGCAAUAGGCAUGUAAUCACAUGUAAUCAUGAUUUCUGCAGUAAUGAAUCAGUUGAGUAAUAGAAGCAUAGCAACUACUAUAAACACAAGCAUGAAUAUGGAUAUGUAAGUAAAUACUAUACACUAUAACUGAUGAGCAUUCAUUACUGUCCUUUGUCAUUUAGUACUUUCUUUUCAUCAUAAGAAUCUACCCAAGGUAGUCCAUCUUGCGCCGCGUCUAAUGGCCCCGUGGUAGUAUACACUCCCCAGGCAAUCCACUUCGGCACCCAAUCCCGCACGGGCGAGCAACUGUCACGUAGGCCAACUCCGGAAUGCCGGCUCGUAGGGAGCGACCCUCACAAGCGUGUGCGAAUGAGCACGAUGGCAAGCAAGCAUAUUCCACUGUCCACAUGUCUCAAUUAUCAUGUUUUCAUUUGCAAUGUUCUUAUCCUCGAUCCUCUGAUCGGAAUUUCAAUACAUAAAUAGUAACAAAAACUAGUAUUCACUAGAAUGUAAACAUGUAAAAGUAAUGCUAAAUCACAUGGCAUUAUAAUCUUUCCACUACUAUGGCGCUGUCAACAUAGUCAUAAGCAUGUCAUAAUUCUCUACUUUAGAGUCAAGAGAGUGUCAUUGUUCUCUACUUUAUAAGUGCAUUCUACACUUGUUCAAAAGUCAUUCUACAGUAUUAGACAUGAUCAUAACUACUUUUAUGCAUGCAGUUUCUCUACUUCAUCUCUACUUCAUAGAGGUACAAUGGCAAACAUAUUAAAUAUGGUGACAAAGAUGUCCAAAUUCAUAUUAAUCACAUAGUCGCAAACUCAGCUCAAAACAGCCCAAUAGAAGCUCCAAACUCAGCUCAAACGGUCUCUGGACCUGCUGAAAAUAAAGCAUCAAAACCGCGUCGAAAUGAUUACUUAAUAAUCCAAUUUCGGCUCCAAACACACAUAAUACAAAAUAAUAACUUAAUUCCCUGCUUCAGCUAGCUUAAUACCUCAAGUUGAGUCUUCAAGAGCUUUCACAAGUCAGCUGAAGUCACUCCAAAAGUCGAUCGCACUCUUGCUGCGAACAACAUCGAAACGGCAUUAGAAUGCUAGUAUACUAGCUAAAAUAUCCGAAUUCUUGUAAAAUUAGAUUUCUAGCAGAAAUUCCUGCUUACUCUGGGUUAGAACACCUUCUAAACCAGUCCCCAAUGUCACCAAUUAAGCUCAGUUUAAUUCAAAAACCUGCUAUGAACAGCGAUUCCAAAAUCAACCUUUAAUCGACGAAUUCGCGCCCGAACAAUGAAGAAAAGAAGUAGUUUACCUUCUUUGAUCAGAAACUUAGUCCCAACUGAGCCAAGCUACAAUAUCUGACCCUGUUUCAACAAUAAAACCUCUUCUCUCUCAGCUGGAGUAACAAACAUCCAAAAUCAAUACUCAAAGCGAUGAAAAGAACGUCGGUAACAGAAAAAUUGGGUCGAUUACCUUAUCGAACAUCCAACCAGGACUCUACUGGUCCAGGGCUGCGAAAAGCUCUCCAAAAUCCUCCCUCAUACUUCCAUGUAAGCUCUGCGAUGCUCACAACCCGCAGAAAACCAACCUCGUGACGAAAACGAACGAAAUCGGCGAUUUCUUUGUAGAGAGAGAAAGAAAUCCUAGAGAGAGAGAAGGAAACCCUCAGACCUCCUUGCUGAGCUCAGAGGUGCUUAUCCAGGUUGCAGGGGUCGAGCUGGGGGUAAAAGGGAUAAGCUUGCUGAGUAAAAAGACCAAAAUGCCCAAGCUGCCACGCAGCUGCUGCUGCUGCUGCUUGCUGUACCGGUACAGCAUUAUGCUUGUACCGGUACACCAAUGCAGAAAAUGCCAAUUUCGAAAUUGCAAUGCACUUUCUCACUUCUAGCUUUCCAAUCAUCCUCUAACUUGUUCAAAAAUUUGUCCAAACCUUUUAGAACAUGUAGGAUAGUUCCACAUUUUAUUCCACACACUCGAACUCCGCAAUUUGCAAAAGUUCAGUGUAUUACAAAAUCUCUCUUUAAAAAUUGGAGGGUUGGUGGAGAAGAUGCUUACGAACGCGUUGGAGGCGACGGAUCGAGCUUUCGUGCGCCCUUUGGAGCGGCGUGUUUUCGUCGCGACGUUCACGUUUUGGUAAGAGUUUGGGAUUUUGUUUAAAUCCUUCAUGAAUCAUAUGUUCUAGUAGUAUCUAGAGUGUUCUAAAUAUGUUGCUCCAUUUAAUUUGGAUUAUUUGGAGGUUAAUUGCAUAGUAGGGCUCCGAAUGGAAUUUUGUAAAAUAGUAAGGUUUGAUCUCAUUUGACCCUCCGUAAACCUAAUUGUUAGAUAAACGAAUGCGUUGGCGAAGUCGGUUCGGCGAUUCAUUGAGCCGUUGUAAAGAUAUUAAAGAAACGAACGUUUAGGCUUCGUUUCCGCCUACAGGGCUGAGGCGACAUCGUAAAGUCAUGAAAAUGGAUUUGGAGCACCGUGGCACAUAACCGAAGACCUAUAAUUUUCGGUGCCGCGAUUCGACGCACGGUUGGUGAGUAUUAGCAAAAUCGGGCCGAACCGGGUUACGGGUGCCGCGGGCGGCCGAUUGCAAGUGUCGACAAGCAAUCGGAAAGCGAUUUGAGGUGGGUCGUGUUUACCAAAGCGACUAGGUCGCCUGUAUGUCUAAGACGAGUGUUUAUCAUUGAUGCAUAUUAUGGUAGCUAGUGGUAGAAUGUUUAAAUGCAUGAAAUGAAUGCUAUGUUAGGCUACCAAAUAAUGCAUAUGAUCAUAAUGUGAGAAUGUUAAGUAAUGCAUAAUAACAUAGUGUAAAUAAUGCUAAGUGGAAAGCAUAAAGUAAAUGACAUAUGUUAGUCAUGUUGCAUGUAUAGAAAUGCUAAUGUAAGAAUGUUAAGUGGAUGCAUAUAGUAAGUGCUAAAGGAAAUGCAUGCUAAUGAUGUAAUAUAAAUGAUGCUAGUUAAAAGCAUGAGGUAAAUGACAUUUGCAUGUUAACAUAAAGUAGAGAACUUGCUAGUUGUAAUGUAUAAUGAUAAGUUGUAAAGAAUGCUAGUUUGAAUAAGCAUGUUAUAUAAAUGCUAGAUAAUGCAUGUUAAUUAUCUAAAGAUAGAUGCUAAGAGAUUGCACAUGGAGUGACACAAUGUUAAUGCUAGAUGAUGCAAGCUAAUAUAUAGAGGUUUAUGUUAAUGGAAUGUGCAUAUGGACAAUCUAUACAUUAGAUCGAGUGUCAUUAAACCUAGUGUCUUGAACAUAGGGCGAACAUGAAUGAUAUGAAUCUAGUGUUAGUAAACCUAGGUCGUACAUGAAGGACAUAUGAACCUAGUGUGAAUAUACAUAGGUUGGACAUCAAGUGGCAUUGAACCUAGUGUUAAAGAACAUAGGUUGGAAUCAGGUGUGGCAUUUAAUCUAGCGUUAAAGAACAUAGGUUGGACAUGAACCUAGUGUUAAAGAAAGUAGUUAAACAAAGUUUAACCCAAAGUGACAUUGUGGCUUGGUAUUAGCGGUAUAUGCAUGAUUAGGUAAAAACCUACCAUUGGCAUUGAGGCAUAGAAAUAUGGAACAGGUUGGCUAUUACCUCCUCAAAUUUAGGAUGGGAUCAUACUCACAUGUAUUGGUUCCGGCUUGUGGGAGGUCGCUCCUCCACAA